rnacentral:misc_RNA from 1 species
GAUGAAGAACGCAGCGAAAUGCGAUAAGUAAUGUGAAUUGCAGAAUUCAGUGAAUCAUCGAAUCUUUGAACGCACAUUGCGCCCUCUGGUAUUCCGGGGGGCAUGCCUGUUCGAGCGUCAUUAUAACCACUCAAGCUCUCGCUUGGUAUUGGGGUUCGCGGUUUCGCGGCCCCUAAAAUCAGUGGCGGUGCCUGGCGGCUCUACGCGUAGUAAUACUUCUCGCGAUUGAGUUCGAUAGGUCUACUUGCCAGUAACCCCCAAUUUUUACAGGUUGACCUCGGAUCAGGUAGGGAUACCCGCUGAACUUAAGCAUAUCAAUAAGCGGAGGA